UGGGGUAUGGGGUAUGGCAGCCCGACUGGUUCUGGUCCAGUUAGUCUAGGUUCGAGUCCUAGUACCCCAG
rnacentral:tRNA from 1 species